GGGAAUUUCCGAAUGGGGAAACCCGGCCUCCUUAUGGAGGUCAUCACAUGCUGAAUACAUAGGCAUGUGAGGCGAACGCGGUGAACUGAAACAUCUAAGUAACCGGAGGAAGAGAAAACAAAAGUGAUUCCGUUAGUAGUGGCGAGCGAACGCGGAUUAGCCCAAACCAAUGUUGUUACGGCAAUAUUGGGGUUGUAGGACCACGAUAUUCAAUGCUAAGUGAAUUAGAACUGUUUGGAAAGACAGACCAGAGAGGGUGAUAGUCCCGUAAAAGUAAGCGAAGUUAUUGAUAGUGGUAUCCUGAGUAGUGCGGGACACGAGUAAUCCUGUAUGAAUCCACCGGGACCAUCCGGUAAGGCUAAAUACUCCUCAGAGACCGAUAGUGAACUAGUACCGUGAGGGAAAGGUGAAAAGUACCCUGAGUAAGGGGGUGAAAUAGUACCUGAAACCGUGCGCUUACAAGCGGUCGGAGGUCCUACGUGGACUGACGGCGUGCCUUUUGCAUAAUGAGCCUACGAGUUGUUGUUGUUGGCAAGGUUAACCACGUAGACGUGGGAAUCCGAAGCGAAAGCGAGUCUUAACAGGGCGUUUAGUCAGCAGUAGCAGACGCGAAACUUGGUGAUCUACCCAUGGGCAGGGUGAAGCUCCGUUAAUCCGGAGUGGAGGCCCGAACCAGUAAACGUUGAAAAGUUUUUGGAUGACCUGUGGGUAGGGGUGAAAGGCCAAUCAAACUUCGUGAUAGCUGGUUCUCCCCGAAAUGCAUUUAGGUGCAGCGUUGCGUGG
rnacentral:rRNA from 18 species